rnacentral:lncRNA from 1 species
AUCACUCUUGUACCGGUACAACAGCUCCAGAAUAUUAUUUUCGCUUUGUUUCGGCUCCAUUUCACGCCGAUCGAUGUCAAAACCAUUCCAACACCUUUAGAACUCAUUUUUGCUCUUCCAAACCUGUUGGAAUGCCGAAUGGAACUUGUCCAAACCGUUCAAUCGCCCACUUUCGCCCAUUUGGCCAAAGUUAGCCAAUAUCGUCAAAUUUCGAUAUCUCACAUGUUCUCACCUCCCCCAGUAUUUUUCAGGUAUCGCGGGCGAUGAGUAGUGGGACGAGAUGUGAGGUACGUGUGUAGCGGUCAAUAGAGCUUCCGACCCAGGUUAUUUCGGUAUAGUUAUUACCCUUAUUAUUUCAGUUGUUAUAGCUUAGAUAGUUUAUAUGGUUCAAUAGUUUUAUUACAUUUGAAAAUAUGGGUUUUCAUGAAUGUAAUAAACUGGUUUGUGAAUUUUGUAAAAUAAAAAGUUUUUUACCCCUCGUGGUAGCGUUUAAAAAAAAAAAAAGAUAAAAGUUCCUAUGUAGGAACAGUUUUCAAAAGGUUUUCUGUGGAUUUUGUAUCUUAAUAUUUCAAAACCUGUUUCUGUGGUUGGAAACAUUUUAACUGAUAGAUGCGGAUUUAUGUUUAAAGAUUGAAUGUUAUAAAUGUGAAACUGUGGUGAAUGGUGUAUGAAUGUAUAACUGUUGGUUAUUUGUAUGUUCAUCUGGUUGUGGUUGUAUCAUGUUUGAACUCUUGUACUUGUGCGACGCCGUGCAAAUACAGGAGAGACUCUAUCCGUGUGAACAGUGGAUCUCCUGUAUUUGUGGCGGAUCUGGCAUACCCUGGGGUCAGGUUUUCAAAAAAAAAAAAAUAAAUUCAGACGUUUUUCCGCUAUGCUUUAAACUAAAAAGGGACCCCGGGGCGUGACACAUCGAAAAAUUGAUCUUUACUAUUUUGUAUGUAAUUGAUUUUUUCUGUUGCUAUAAAUAGUUCUACAUGAUCUUUUUGUUAAAUAGUUUUUCAAGCAUACUUGUUCUAACUAGUUCUUCGAGCACAUGUAUGUUUACUGUUAAUAGGAACGUAGUGCCAAAAAUAAAGCUAGUCGUGCAUUGCUAAGUACCACACAUACAGCUGGCACAAAAAGCUUUGCGAGGGUCCAUGCUGAGGUAAACUUAAUCCUCUCAAUUAUAGUCUUUUCAUUACUAACACUUUUAUAGAUUUUUGAUUGUUAUUGAAAGUUUAAUUUCUAAAUAUUGUUAGAUGGCAAAGAAAAAUAAUCAUAUUCAGCCGAGAAGACAUGAACUCUACAUAAGAAUACACACGAAGAAGAAUGACAAGCCUUUAAAUGAGUUUUGCUCAAAAAUAAUUGUAUGCCUUUACAUUUAGACAAAUUUUACAUUUUAUGAAAAAUGUUUCAAUUAGUCAAUUUAGUUUUCUUACUUUUUACAGAAAAAUAUUGGAGAUUUGGCUCCAUUACAUCUUGAAGUUGCACAAAAAAGUCCAUCCCGAAAUGACCUUUUAUCUUUGCUAAUUAAAGAAAAACGUUCACUACUUCAUUGUCAUGGGUUGGGUCCUAUUCCGGAUGAAUUUCGAAAAUCAAAGACAACUCGUGCUGAUUAUAUUCGAAUGCUUUCUGAGACCAAAAAAGAAGCCGAGGAGGAGAAACGUGUAAUGCAAGAAGAAUUAGCAGAUAUGAAACAAAAGUAUGAAGAUAUGCACAAUGAAAUGAUGACAAUGAAAGCAAUUUUAGUAGAAUCAAUAGGUAAAAAGGCUCAAAUAUUAGGGAGAAGGAAUAUCAUGCAUUCCACAAGGCCACAAGCUAGUAAGAAUAAUUUUUAAGCUAUUUUGUUUUAUGAUGUAUAUGAAAACUAAUAUAAUAUUAAUUCUUUCUUUCUAAUCUAGAGUGGCACCGUUUUCCUCGAUGAUAGAUCACCUCCUAAUAAUGGGCAAGCUCUUUCUCACUCUAGUUAUGAAGCACACCAACUCAGGUAUUUUUGUAAUCUUAAAUGACUUUCUUGAAUAAUUUUAUGAAAGUUUAGAAUUUUCAACAAAAUUAAUUAGUUCUAUUUUUUCUAAUCAUUUAGAUGCUUAGAGAGAUAAUUAAUAGCUAUUGCUACUUUAUUAGUUAGUUUAGCUUCUAUUUUCGAUAAAGUGAAAUCAUAGUUGUUUAUUUUUCUUUUUAAAGUAUAAACUAAUUUUAGAUCCUAAAUUUGUUAAUAUCCAAUUAUAUCGCAGGUACAUCGAGUUAAGACUACCUCCCAAGGAAAGUAAAGUUAUAUCAAAUAUUGUGGUUAUCUUCUAUUUUUUCUUCAAUCUCUUAUUCUUUCUAAGCUUUCAUGAUAAUUAUUUUCUAUGCAAUAUAUAUAUUUUAAAUUGUUAAUUUGUUUAUUCUUGUAUUAUUAGAUUGGGACUAGAAGUUUAUUAAGAAGUUUAAAAAAGCCUCACAAUUAUGUAGCACAAGGUUAUCUUUUGAGUAAAGACCCAACUACAAAAGUAGGUGGGUUUGAAUUAGGACACAAUAUUGGAAGAUUCAAGUUGAUCUGCGCAAGUACGCAAUGAACACUACUAUAGACCUUAUGGUGGCUAUCAAACUAUUGGAGAUGUUGUGGAGCAACUAUUGCUUGGCCAUAUACUUUUGUAAGGAAUUUUCAAUAAAAUUUUAUUUUUUUCAAUAUUUUCAAUAUGUAUAGUAUAAAAGAAGAUGCGCGCGCACAUUUCUCUUAUCAUUUUUUAUGAUCAAUGUUUAUAUGUGAGUUUUGUUAUGAUCACUUUAUAUGUUAUUACUUCGAUAUUGAAGUAUUUGUGUUUACAAAUAUUAUUUAAGGAAUUUUGGGAUGUUAGAUGUUUAACAAUUUAAAUAUGAAAUGUAUGAGUUGUUUAGUUGUGUUUAAAUAUUAAAGUAUGAGUUGUUUAGUUUGAUUGUAUUUUUACGUAUUGUAUUCUAAUUGAUUUGUAAUUUUAAAUACAUAAAUUAUUUAUUAUUGUAAUUUCAAUUGAUCUUUGUGAUUAUUAAAUGUAUAAUUGAUUUAUUAUUGAGUGAUUUUAAUGCAUUACCAUUUAAUUUUUAAAAUUAGUAUAUAUUUAGCGACAUAUGAAUGAGAUGUUGUAUAUUAGUAUUAAAUAGCAACAUUUAGUAAUGUUGAAGUGAUUACUUAUACCAAUAUUAGCAACAUUUAGUAAUGUUGGAAAUGAUUACUUUAUACCAAUAUUAGCACACUUAGAAAAUGUUGGAAUGAUUGGUUUAUACAAAUCAGCAACAUUUAGUAAUGUUGUAAAUAAUUAAUUUAUACCACAUAUGAUAAAUGUUGCUAUUUACUUAUACGCAACAAUUGUUUAUAUGUCUCCUUAAUUUUAUUAGCAACAUUUUUAUUCAAAUGUUGCUGAAAGAAUCACCACUCAGGCAUAGGCAACGUUAAAUAUUAAAUGUUGCUAAUAGUUUAGAAUCAAAUUUAAAUCCUUUAGCAAAAUAAUAUUUGCCCUAAAACACAAAUUUUUUAGUGGACCACUACCCAUAUUUAUGGAAGAGGAUUUGAGAGUAUUCCCCGAGUGUGGAAUUGAGUUUGAUGUGGAGGCAUUGUGUAGCAAUGCGAUUGAGGAAUCGAUAAUCACCUCUGGUGGAGAAAUUUGGACGAUUCGUCGGUUUCCGUUGCUAUCGGAAGAUUGUUGCCGUGAUGUUGAUUGUAGACCGUAUCGUGCAAGCAAUUUGAAUGGUAGCCAUGUGACUUACACAUACUUUAAUUAUGGAAUAGAGUGGCACCACACUUGUGCAAUCUCGUGACGGAAUUUGAUUUUGAGUUGUGAGAUCAUCGUUGGGAUUAGUCGGCGAUUGAAUGUUGCAUCGCCCUUUUUGGUGAUUGAUAUCAUGUGAGUGCUCCGGUGGAAUUUUGAUGGAUUGGGUAUACGGGGUGUAAACCCGGAUUCUUGUAUGGACAGCGCAUUGAAUCGCCUCAGAAGGAUAUAUGAUGGAAUUCUAUAUAUGUGAGUAAAACGAAGCAGAGCUAGGCUUUGCCUCAACUUGGAUGAGGAAAAUAGAACUAGAAUUUAGCCUUGUGGGAGCACUUGGGUUGUGAGGACUCAAUGAUGGCUUUUUGAGCAAGGGCAGAUUAGAGAUGGAACUCUUUUGUGAAGACUUGAGUUUGAGGAACUUUUGUAGAAGAUUCGGCUUGUGUUAUACCAAAGCCUUACGUCACGAGGGAUCUUGUGUGGUUUUGCCGUGAAGCAUUCGGCAGCUUGAGACCUUCAUGGUCUGUUGUGACAGCCCUCACUGGGCAGUUUUCGCCCAGAGCGACCGGUCCCUGGUCGGGGAGACCUGUCCCCGAGAGCUCUCCCUGCAGUCUGGGGACUUUUCGCGUUCGGGAACCGGUCCUCACUUGAGGGAUCGGUCCCUGGGAGACCGGUCUCUCCUAAGAGACCCGUUCCCGAACGGGGAACCUUCAGGACUUAGCCAAAUUUUGGCUUUCUCCCGCGGGUGUCGUGCACGUGGACCUGUCCCCUCAGCCAGGGAUCGGUCGCAUCGACCUCCCUCGCGACCAUUAGCUACGGGGACCGGUCCUUCCCUCUAGGGACCGGUCCCCGAGAGCAAAAAUCUGCUGAGUCCAUAUUUUGCCUAUUUGCUCUCGCGGACUCAACUCCAAAGCACCUUUUUGGUAUUUUGGACAUCUCCAACUCCCACAAAGGGUAUACUUUCGACAGUUAGUCGAUCCCGGAUGAAGUACAAUCCUCGGAUUUCGAGAAUUCACUUCCUUACACCCGCACUGAUCGGCUUCCUUGCCUUAACUUCCGAAAAUCCUCCUUGAUUUUCCUUUUGUCGCUUUCGGGGAAAUACUCCAUAAGCAGCAUCUCCCGGAACGCUUCCCAAGUAAGAAAAGCGUGCCCUAGCGAGCAAUUUUUCCUCGCUUGAUUCCACCAUAGCCGGGCCGACCCAUCAAGACAAUGAGCCGCCGGAUGAACUUUAUCCUUCUCGAGGGUAUAGAUAUCCUCGAACAAGGCCUCCAUCGCGGCUAACCAAUUCUCCGUCGUCCACGGGUCCUUCACGUCACCGUUGAAGGUCGGAGGGUUGAAUCGCUUAAAUGCCGUCAGCGCCGCAAACGUGCGCUGCUGCUCGGCCGCAAGUACAUCGAAAAUAGGAGCCGAUGAACUCGAUGCCAUCGGAGGAAUAGCCGUCACUGGUGCCGCCGCCAUCGCAGGAGGUGGUGCCACAGGAGCAGGCGGUGGGGGUGAAUCCCUUGGUACUGAUGCCGCCGCUGCCUGUUGCGCCAUCAUCUCGUGGAGCUGCCCUAUCUGCUCCCCUUGAAGCCGCAUAGCCCCGGCCAAGGCCGCUACUUGGGCUCGCAACUCGCGCACGUCGUCCGACCCCGACUACCCGGGCUCCUCCCGAGGCUCUGCCGGUGCAGACCUCGUAACUCUCCUUGGUGGUGCCAUCGCGUCCUGAAACGCAAUGCACGCACACAUUAGUAGUCGAAGCACGUGACUCUUACACGUUCCAAACAACUACCCAAUUAAGCGAAAGCAACAAGCAUAAUCGUUUCCACUCUUGGUGUCAUGUGGUCGGCCGCCCCACAAAGUCCCUUAGUAGACAACAAGUACGCCUUCUAGUCCAUCUCUACUUCCUUUUAGAGAAGUGUUACCAUUGACCCAAUCACUCGCUUUCGCAUAACCCAAGUUCACGUUAAACGUUUUCCUAGGUCCCUAUGGUCCCCACACCUAUGGUUCCUAGGUCAUUUCUAGACUUUUGCUUUUCACUUCUCUCUGAUACCAUUAUAUCGGUCACGCCCCAAUCCCCGCCAAUUUGGUCGGGUUCGGGUCACGUCGACAGACGCCGAACGUACAGGGCCUCCCCUGUCCGCCCAAGGCUCUAACAACAUGCAUAAAUAAGCAAUCAACAAGAGAUUUGCAUAUAUAAUACAAGGCUUGCACGAGGGCAAGUAGCAACGGAAGCGAAAGCCCUAAGCUAAAUAAUCAACAUACAUAAUAUUUGAUUAGAUUUAAACCAAAUACAAGUAAAUAAAACUACUACAUAUCCAUUCAUCCAUCAUAACUUUUUACAUUUAGUCAUCCACCAAUAACAUGAUUGUUUACAACUUUACAUCUCUAAGUCAACAAAAGAAGUUGAUACAUGUACAACAAAAAGGGGAAUGACUACCAAAAUGUACAAGGUCCCGGUGGCCGCUAUCUACGGCGCUAUACCCUUGCCUCGGUCCUCCGCCGCCCCGCUCGUGCUAGGACCUGUAGGGUUAGUGGUGUGAGAACUACAACGAAGUUCCCAGUGGACUCGACAUCCGACCUCGUUGACUUACCCACUAGAUCUAUCCAGGCAUAAGUAUUUCAAGGAAAGAAAAGUAACCAUUACUAAUACAUCUAAUACCAUGCCUGCAGAAGAAUAUCAGUGGAUACAUAUACUCGAUGCAAUAAUGAAAUAUGCAUGCAUGCUCAAAUUAUAAUUAAGCUCUGGCUCUUACCCAAUCUUACCAGUUAACCCUGUUAACCCCAAUAACUCAUAACCCAAAAUUUCUUUCUUUACCGGGGAGGCUCCAAGCACUACCGACCCGAGGGACCAUCUUCAGGGACCUCGCUCCCUGUGGUGUCGAUUUCCGGAAACACACCGCUUGAGGGGGAGCGACCUCCCUCAAGCCAAGACUUAUCAUGAGUAUCGAUCAAAUCCCCACGUUGAGGAUAUUAAGCCACAUGUCACGUUGCCACUUUUGUGAUAGGUUUUCGACCAAUGUUUUGAUGCCACUUUCUAGUCGAUCUCGUCACAAUGUCACUAUAGUUAAAUCUAUGUUUAACAUCCAUUUGUCCAAGCCCAUCUAUCUGUCUAUUGUCAUUGUCACCAUUUGUUUACUUAUGCUAAGUCCAAGUCCCACUAUCAUGCAAUUCCUAGGGUUCAACAACAUAUGUCCAUCAUGGUUCCAUUCCUCUGUAUUUUCAAAUACCCUUGAGAUAAACAUAAUGAAAACAACCAAAGUUCACAUGUGCAUUAACCCUAAUAUGCAUGAAGGAAUAAACAACCAUAUGCUCAAGAAUAGAGAAAUAGACAUAGAAGGAAAUCCAACGAUUCCGGCGUGCACCCCCCGCCUCUCGUAAUCGUGUGGGUGUAGAAUACGAAACUCCCGAAUGCUACGAACGCCGACUCCGCGUCCUAUAACCAAAUUAGUGCCCUAUUAGGCCGAUUGUACAUGAACUAUACUUAAACAUUUUCGUAACGUCAAAUGGAGUUGUCCAACGUGUUUAUUUGACCCCCAAUUAGGUUUCUACGAGGUCAAUUUGCCCCCGAAAAAUCUUAGGACAAAAGCCCCAAAUUUGAGCCCUAACAAUAUCACUAGGGUUCCCUCAAGGAUUGAUCUCAACCCUAAGCAAAUAAUAGCUCAGAAUCAUCUAAGAAGCAUCCUACUAAGAUUUUUAAGCCUUUAGAACCAUCCCUAGGGCUCCUAACACAACUUCCAAGGGUUCACCAUGAGAGCACCUUGAGCUCUCAUGGGUACCAUGCAAUUCAUGGCUCAAAGGAGCCUCUAAAGCCCUAAGGAGCACAACGCUCCAAUUCUCCAAACCAAAACCCAAACCCUAGAGGAAAAUCUUACAAAACUUACCUCUAGUCCAAGCUCCACCAAGGUUCUUCUUGUUGGAGAGCUCCUAGAACCUCCAAAGCACCAAAUCCACCUUCUUCUCCAAGUUCUUCUUCUUCUUCUCCAAGCUCUAGAGGGGUUCUAGAGAGAGAAAGAGAGAAAAUGAGAGAGGAGGAGAGAAAUGGCUGUGGGAGAGAGGGGAUGGGCCAUAUAUAGUGUUGUAAUAAUUACACUUAAGCCCCUCCACUUGUUUCCCAUUGAUCUGCCCAGACUGGGCAUUUUUCGCUUUCAGGGACCGGUCUCCCCGACCAGGGACCGGUUCCCGAACGGGGGUUUUCCAGGACUUAGCCGAUUUUCGGGCUUUUUCAGCUGUUGCGCAGCGAGGGACCGGUCUCUCCCCCAGGGACCGGUCUCCCGAGGACCGGUCUCACCACCAGGGACCGGAUGCCUCAGGAUUUCCUGGCAGGCUACGCGCACGGGGACCGGUCUCUCCUUCAGGGACCGGUCCCCGAGAGUACAAAAUCUAGGACUUAGCCAGAUUUUGAAAUCUCACUCUCUCGGGUCCCUUUGCACCAUAUAUAGGCUCCAAUACACCUAGGGCCUAUACCCACUUGUUCCACUCCGCGUUCCGCUCGUUUCGACGGAACUUGGCACGAUUUACGAGGGAUGUGGUAUGUUACAUUCUCCACCCCUUAAUUUAGUUUCGUCCGCGAAACUACUAAGUUUGAAAUUUAAAUUUCAUACCUCACUUCGGAUCCUCGAAGAGGUGAGGAUAACGCUCCCUCAUUUCGCUUUUGAACUCCCACGUUUCUUCCCGGUCAUCAUGUUCGCACCAAUGAAUCUUAACAUACGGGAUUUCGCGAUUCCGAAGCUUUCUUACUUCCCGAUCGACAACAUACGCCGAUAACUCCUCAUAAGUCAUAUCCUCUUGAAGUUCUAUCGGUAUAUACGAGAGAAUAUGAUCUGGGUCGUACACAUACUUGCGGAGUUGGGAUACAUGGAACACAUCAUGUACUCCCGCGAGCCUCGGUGGUAAUACCAACUUGUAGGCCACCGCGCCAACUCGUUCCAAAAUCUCGAAGGAUCCGAUAUAGCGGGGACUCAGCUUCCCGCAAACACCGAACUGCCUAACUCCUCGCAUCGGCGACACUUUUAGGAAUACGCGGUCUCCUACCGCGAAUUCCAUAUCCUUUCGCCGCUUGUCAGCAUAACUCUUGUGCCUUGAUUGCGCCAUCACUAAUCUUUGUCGGGCAAGGCGGACUUUCUCUUCCGCCUCCCGCACCACUUCCGGGCCAAGAACCAUCUUCUCGCCCACAUCGCUCUAGUGUAUUGGCGAGCGACAUUUCCUUCCGUACAGGGCCUCGAAUGGUGCCAUCGCAAUGCUUUCUUGAUAGCUAUUGUUAUACGCGAAUUCCGCCAUCGGUAAAUGAUCGUGGCAUCGCCCUUAUAAUCAAGCACACACGCUCGAAGCAUAUCCUCAAGUAUUUGAAUCGUCCUUUCCGAUUGACCGUCACUUUGAGGAUGGAAUGCCGUACUAAAGUCGAGCCGCGUGCCCAAUGCAUCUUGUAAGCUCUUCCAAAAUUGAGAUGUGAACCUAGGGUCCUGAUGCGAUACAAUAGACACCGGAACCCCAUGAAGUCUCACCACCUCGUCAAUAUAGACUUGAGCUAACUUGUCUCCCGACCAAGUAGUGUGGAUCGGCAAAAAGUGUGCCGAUUUUGUCAACCGGUCCACAACUACCCAAAUCGUGUCAUGUCCACCUUGUGACCUUGGCAAACCUAUCACAAAAUCCAUUGCGAUGUUUUCCCAUUUCCACACGGGUAUAGGUAGGCUUUGCAACUUCCCGCUGGAAAUCGACGCUCCGCCUUCACUUGUUGGCACGUGAGACAUUGCGCCACGAACUCUUCUAUAUCUUUCUUCAUGCCUGGCCACCAAUAAUGCAAUUUCAGGUCUCGAUACAUUUUGGUGUCGCCCGGGUGAAUGCUAUAGGGAGAUUGAUGCGCUUCUUGCAUAAUCACCCUCCGAAGACCGUCGUCCUUGGGCACGCACCAACGAUCCCGAUAUCGUAGUGCGCUAUCGGUUCCAAUGCCAAAAUCAUCGGCACUACUGCUCUCAACUUUGCCCCGCAUCUUUUGGAGAAAUUCAUCCGACGCUUGUAAUCCUUUAAUUUUCUCCAACAAGGUUGGUUGCACAACUAGGGUGGCAAGUGUUGCUGGCACUCCCACCACCACAACUUCUAGUCCAAACCGCUGCAUUUCUUUUGCAAAGCCGGUUGUGUAAUUUUCGUCGCCAAAUUCUCCGCCAACUUUCUACUUAGAGCAUCGGCCACAACGUUCGCUUUCCCGGGGUGGUAGAGAAUCGUGACAUCAUAAUCUUUGAGCAACUCUAACCACCGCCGUUGUCGCAAGUUUAGCUCCUUUUGGGUGAACAGGUAUUUGAGACUUUUAUGAUCGAUGUAGAUCUCACAAUGUUCCCCAUACAAGUAAUGCCUCCACAAUUUUAGCACGAAAACAACCGCCGCUAGCUCAAGAUCGUGAGUCGGGUAGUUCUUUUCAUAACUCUUCAAUUGGCACGAAGUAUAAGCUAUGACUCGGCCAUUUUGCAUUAAGACACACCCGAGACCGAUGUAUGAAGCAUCACUGUAUACGACAUAACUUUCUCCCGGCGUUGGCAAGGCAAGCACCGGAGUAGACGUCAGUCUGUUCUUUAGCUCCUCAAAGUUCCGCUCAUACUCGGGGCUCACACAAACUUCACCCCUUUGUGCGUAAGGCGCGUUAGUGGAGUUGUUAUCCUGGCAAACCCCACCACGAACCGCCGAUAAUAGCCCGCAAGUCCAAGGAAGCUGCGGAUUUCUGCUACGCUUGUCGGGCGAGGCCAAUCCUUAAUUGCCUCAACUUUCUUUGGGUCUACCGAGAUGCCGUCCCCGGAUACAACGUGACCCAAGAAAGUAAUCUCCAAAAGCCAAAACUCGUAUUUCUUCAGUUUUGCGUAAAGCUUUUCCUUUCGGAGUAUCUCCAACACAAGUCUUAGGUGCUCUUCGUGUUCUUCUUUGGUCCGAGAAUAUACCAACACAUCGUCAAUGAAGACCACGACACACCGGUCCAUAGCGGACAGAAGAUUCGAUUCAUUAGGUCCAUAAAUGCCGCGGGGGCGUUAGUGAGCCCGAAUGGCAUGACCGUAAACUCACAGUGGCCAUACCGUGUACGGUACGCCGUCUUAUGCACGUCUUUGGGCCGUAUCUUCAACUGAUGAUACCCCGACUGCAGAUCAAUCUUUGAAUAUACCCUUGACCCUUGCAACUGGUCGAAUAAGUCGUUAAUUCUCGGCAACGGGUAUUUGUUCUUGAUCGUCACUCUAUUCAACUCGCGAUAAUCGACGCAGAGUCGGAGUGUGCCGUCUUUCUUCUUUACAAAUAGCACCGGAGCUCCCCACGGGGACACGCUCGGCCGUACAAAGCCUUUAUCGAGCAAAUCUUGUAAUUAAGCUUUCAACUCUUUUGGCUCCACCGGUGCCAUUCUGUACAGAGCCUUCGAAAUUGGCGCUGCCCCGGGAAUCAAGUCAAUGACAAACUCGACUUCCCGAUCCGGGGGCAAUCCCUGUAACUCCGCUGGAAAUACGUCCGGAUACUCCCGCACAACUCGAAUACUUUCUAGUUCCGGGUAUUCCUCUCGAGGGUCUACAAUGGUCGCCAAGUAGGCCUUACAACCACCCUUGAUCAUCAUUUUCGCCCUCACCGCCGAUAUAGUGGCUGCGAAGCAUUUGCCUUUACAUGCCCGAUAGACAAACUCCUCUUGGUUGGGUUCACGGAACGUGAUCACCCUUCUUUCGCAAUCUAUAACCGCGUAGUACUUGGAGAGCCAGUUGAUCCCCAAGAUUACCUCGAAACCCCACAUUUCUUUCAACACUAAAAGGUCGAUCGGCAUAACUCAAUCACCUAUCUGCACUGGGCAGUCCAAGCACUCAUCGUGAACGUCGAAUGAAUGCUCAGGAGUAUUCACCGACUAAUACUCCUCGCUAUGAGUGAUCUCUAUGUUAUGAGCUUGUGCAAAUGAUGCCAAUAUGAAUGAAUGAGAUGCACCCGUAUCAAAUAUAGCUCUAGCUCUAGUGCCUCUGAUCAGAAUAAUACCUGCCAUGACGUCGUCGGGAACAACGAUUAGUGGCUCCUCCACCUGAGUGGCAAAUACCCGCCCACUAGGUGCUCGGGAGGCCUCCGGCUGACGAGGCGCCGACGAUCGUCCAGCAGAUGUCCCGGGUGGCAGUCCCGCCAGCUGUCGCUGAGUGUAUUGAACUGAAGCUGAUGACGGGGCUGGGGACGCGCCGCCCGGGCACUCUCGGCCAAUGUGGCCCAACUGGCCACACCGAUAGCACCGCCCCUCUCGCUGUGGGCAAGAGGUAACCCGGUGGUCUUCACCGCAGAUCACACAUGGAUAGGUGAUACGGCUCUGGGUCUGACUCCUACCUCCCCGCCACUGUGAUCGCGGAGGUCGCGGGGGUCGUUUAGAACUCGAUUGCCCCGCAGACCCACCAGCCGGUCGCUUCUUGGUCUUAUCUCUUUCCCUGUCUCUCUCAAAAGUCUCGCGCUCAUCACGCGCGAUGGCAUUCCAGCGCUCCACCCAAAGCGCGCGAUCGAGCACUUCCUCAUAGGACUUCAACCGGAAGGCAUGCACAACCUUGAAAAUUUCGGGUCGCAACCCGCGCUCGAAUACCUCCGCUCGGUCCCUAUCACUGUGAACCAAGCCCGACACACAGUUAAUCCUAUGCGUGAACUCCCUCUCGUACUCCUGCUGUCACGCCGCGCCCCGAAACCACUACCAAUUUGGGACGGUUCGGCCGCGGCGGCGGGCCACCGAACGGACAGCACCUCCCUUGUCCGCCCAAGGCUCAACAACAGGAAUGUGUACAAGAAUUUACCCAGAAAAUUAAAUUCUAAACAUACACAUUCACAAGGGCACAAACAGUGCCAACAAUACAAAGAGCAAGCAAUCCACAAGAUAAAGCAUGUGAAAUAAAGAGAGUACUUUACUAACUAUUACAAUAGUUCCAUCAUUUUCAUUUUCUUUAAACGAAUACAUUUUUCAUCCAAAAUACAUAGCUCUCCAAAUCCUCACCUAUAAUGAAUCUCUCUCAAUACAUAGGUGCGCUAAUUCAAAAAGGAAAGCUACUAUACUACCACAGUCUCACUGAUCGGGCGCGAUGCCCUUGCCGCGGUCCAAUCUUUGCAGCCCUGAACCUACCACUGGAAAUAGAGUGGGGUGAGAACUAUCUUCCAUAGUUCCCAGUGGGCUCGGCCGCCGACUCUGCCGAUCUCCCCACUAGGUCCAAGUGGGCACAAGUAACAACAGAUAGAUAGAUAGAUAUGUAUCUGAAAGCUGUAAAUGCAGUAGUAGGAAAACUAUGCUACUAUGCCCAUAAUCAUGAAUAUGAAUGCAUGCAUCAUAUAAUAAAGGUUUGCUACCAUGCUAACAAAUUCGAUCCAUGUUCGAAUAGCAAUGUUCAAUGACAUUAUUAAACCUUUAACCUUUCCAUUUACCCAAUCUGUGGCGAGGCCCUAGGGCUCGCCUAUAACUCACCUUUCAAUCCCAAAGUGGGGAGGGAGCUCCAAGUGCACCCAAGCCCGGGACCGUCUGCGGACCUCCAUGUGGUCCGGACCUCCAAGUGGUCCUAGUCGCGCGACACUCCGGAGUACUCGACGACAAUCCCCUCCAUGUGGGGAUUGGAUGGCUAUACCAUCCCAAACGCAGACUGUGAGCUAGAUCUAUCCUCUCCAAGUGAGGAUGCCCUACAUCUAGGGUCAACAACCCAAUCAAGUCCUCUCCAAGUGAGGAUGCUCUACAACUAGAGUCAAUACCCAAUCGAAUCCUCUCCAAGUGAGGAAGCACUAUCACUAGGGUCCACAACCCAAUCAAAUCCUCUCCAAGUGAGGAUGCCCUACAACUAGGGUCACUGUCUCAAUCGACUCAUCGACGACCUCUCCAUGUGAGGUUACUUAGGUUUACUAAGUUCUUGUCCACAAGGCAUUUUCUAAGGGAUCCACCUAUCCCUAGGUUCUCAAACCUCUAGUGUUAUUUACACUACAUUAAUGCCACUCGUCAUCAUUUAACGCUUGGAUGCCACUCGUUAGUUCUUUGACAUUAACACUACUUUCUAUGUCAUCAACACCCCUAUCGGGUUCAUCUCUUUUCUCUCGCAUCAUAGGAUCCACGUUCCGACCCAAUCCUCACCUAUCUAAGUCACCAAGCGUUCCAAGUACACUAGGUUAUCAAUUAGAAAGCAUAAGGAAUGGAGCUACUAUGCAAUCCUACAAUGCAACACGAAGAGAUGAGAUUAAAUGCAAUCUAAGACAUAAAAAGGAGUUCGAAAGCUUCGGGAUGGCACCCCCCACCUUUUACCGAUGUCGAGGCUUAAGAAAGGGUCCUCGGCGAACACUACCAAAAGGCUUUAGCCUUCUUUACCCAAAUCCAAGCUAUCCCGGCCCUAUUUUGUCGAGAACUUCACGCCGGCUCGCCGAAUGCCAAAAUCGACUUCGCCCCCACGUUUUGUGACCUACCAAUUGGGUUUCCAAGGCUUCAAAUGAGAUCAAUCUCAUACUUUCACAAAAACCCCAUUUUGGAGCCUUAGGUUUGCACCUAUAGCAAACCACCCGAUAAAUCUCUAGAUUCUUGGGAUUGAUCUAUUUAGAAGCAAGUUUAGGGUCCAUUUGACCCAUUCCAAAGCAUCAAAACCCAAAAACCCCAAGUUCUACAAGCUAGGGUUUGUAGCUUACCUCUUGAGCUACACCAAUGGAAAGGAGAGAAAGAGAGGAAGAUGCUCCAAGCCCUCUCUAGCUUGUUCUCCUCCUUCUUCUUCUUCUUCUCCUCCUUCUGCUUCUCUUUCUUCUUCUCCUUCUCUUUUGUUCUUUCUUUCCUAGAGAGAGAGAGAGAGAGAAAGAGAGGGCGAAAUGAGAGAAUGAGAGGGGGAGUGAGCUGUUGAGCCCUUCUAUUGUAACAAAAUCCACUUUAGCCACUCAACUUUUCAUCCAUUGCCCAGCCCUCACUGGGCAGUUUUCUCCCAGAGGGACCGAUCCCUGGUCGGGGAGACCGGUCCCCUAGAGCUCUCCCUGCAGUCUGGGGACUUUUCGCGCUCGGGAACCGGUCCUCACCUGAGGGACCGGUCCCUGGGAGACCGGUCUCUCCUAAGAGACCCGUUCCCGAACGGGGAACCUUCAGGACUUAGCCAAAUUUUGGCUUUCUCCCGCAGGUGUCGCGCACGGGGAUCGGUCCCCUCAGCGAGCGAUCGGUCGCAUCGACCUCCCUCGCGACCAUCAGCUACGGGAACCGGUCCUUCCCUUUAGGGACCGGUCCCUGAGAGCAAAAAUCUACUGAGUCCAGAUUUUGCCUAUUUGCUCUCGCAGACUCAACUCCAAAGCACUUUUUGGUAUUUUGGACAUCUCCAACUUCCACAAAGGGUAAACUCUCGACAGUUAGUCGAUCCUGGAUGAAGUACAAUCCUCGGAUUUCGAGAAUUCACUUCCUUACAUCCUCCCCUCCUUAAAAGGAGUUUCGUCCUCGAACCUAACUCAAUUCCUUAUUUUAAUUCAAAUUCAUACCUUACUCCUCGAAUAGAUGAGAAUGGUGCUUUCUCAUCAGAUCCUCGAGUUCCCAAGUGGCUUCACGAUCCUCGUGACUGCUCCACCUGACCUUCACAUAGGGAAUUUCUCGAUUCCUUAACUUUCGCAUCUCUCGGGCGAUAAUUCCUACCGGAAACUCUUCAUAGCUCAAGUCUCCUUGAAGUUCCGGCGGUUCAUAUAGCAUCGCAUACUCGGGGUCGUGAAUGUACUUGCGGAGAUUGGAGACAUGGAACACAUUGUGUACAUUCGCAAGCUUCAGCGGUAAAGCAAGUCGGUAGGCCACCGUGUCGACUCGCUCCAAUAUCUCAUAUGGCCCAAUGUAUCGGGGGCUCAAUUUUUCCCGCACUCCAAACCGCUUCACACCACGCAUCGGUGAAACUUUCAAGAAUACGCGGUCACCUACCGCGAACUCUAUAUCUCGACGGCGCCUAUCUGCGUAGCUUUGCUGUCUCGACUGCGCCGUGAGCAAUCUCUUGCGAGCAAGGCGGACUUUCUCUUCCGCUUCUCGCAACACAUCUGGGCCGAACUCAACACGCUCGCCUACAUCGCUCUAGUGUAUAGGAGAUCGACACGUCCGCCCAUAAAGAGCCUCGAACGGUGCCAUCUCCACACUAGCAUGAUAACUGUUGUUGUAGGCGAACUCGGCCAUAGGUAGGUGGUCACACCAACCUCCCUUGUAGUCAAUGACACACGCUCGCAACAUGUCCUCCAGAGUUUGGAUAGUUCUUUCUGUUUGCCCAUCGGUCUGAGGAUGAAAUGCAGUACUAAAGUCGAGCCGUGUGCCAAGGGCUUCCUGCAGGCUCUUCCAGAAGUGUGAAGUGAACCGGGGGUCACGAUCUGACACGAUCGAUUUCGGCACCCCAUGUAGUCUCACUAUCUCAUCGAGAUAUACUUGCGCCAACUUGUGUCCUGACCACGUAGUGUGAAUCGGCAAGAAGUGAGCUGACUUAGUCAAUCGGUCCACAAUUACCCAAAUUGCAUCGUGGCCGCCCGUUGAGCGAGGCAAGCCGACCACGAAGUCCAUCGAUAUAUCCUCCUAUUUCCAAACGGGGAUUGGUAGGCUUUGAAGCUUUCCCGCUGGAAAUCGACGCUCGGCCUUCACUUGUUGGCAUGUUAGGCACUUUGCCACAAAGCGUCCAAUGUCACUCUUCAUUCCUGGCCACCAAUAAUGCAUUUUCAGUCCUUGAGACAUCUUGGUGCUGCCCGGGUGAUCAGCAUAUGGAGAUCGGUGAGCUUCUUGCAGAAUCAAUUCACGAAGCUCUCCAUCUUUCGACACGCACCAUCAGUUUCGAAACCGAAGCGUACCAUCGGCGUCCACCUUGAAAUCGCCGCCAUGCCCUUCCUCGAUGUUUCGCCGCACCUUCUAGAGUUCUGGGUCUGUAGGUUGUAGAUCUUUAAUCCUCUCCAACAAGGUCGGUUGGACAAUGAGUGCCAUCAACUGAGUCGGGACCUCGGGAAAGACCACUUCAAGGUCCAAUCACUCCAUAUUCAGCCACAAGGGUGUUUGCUGGGUAACAUCAAAAGCGAGGUUUUUCGCCGACUUCCUACUUAGUGCGUUCGCGACCACAUUUGCCUUCCUGGGGUGGUAGAGGAUAUCAACAUCAUAAUCUUUUAACAGUUCCAACCACCGCCGUUGACGCAUGUUGAGCUCCUUCUGUGUAAACAGGUACUUCAAGCUCUUGUGGUCGGUAUAGAUCUCACAAUGGGCACCAUAUAAGUAGUGCCUCCAUAGCUUCAAGGCGAAAAUCACCGCCGCUAGCAUCAAAACAUGAAUGGGGUAGUUCUUUUCAUAGCUCUUCAGCUGACGGGACGCGUAGGCGAUUACCUUCCCGUUUUGCAUCAAUACACACCCCAACCCAAGAUAGGAGGCAUCACUGUAGACUACAAAGUCUUCGCCCUGCACCGGUAGAGCGAGCACCGGAGUCGAAGUCAAUCUUUGCUUCAACUCUUUAAAACUUCGGUCGCACUCUUCGCUCCAAACAAACUUGGUGCCUUUCUGGGUCAGGUGGGUAAGUGGAAUCACUAUCUUGGAAAAGCCUUCCACAAACCGCCUAUAAUAGCCCGCCAAGCCCACGAAGCUUCGAACCUCCAUGACAUUCGUCGGGCGCGGCCAAUCCUUGAUUGCCUCGACUUUCCUCGGGUCUACAGAAACUCCACCCGCAGAAAUCACAUGCCCUAAGAAGGCAACCUCGCGAAGCCAGAAGUCACACUUUUUCAGCUUAGCAUAUAGCUUCUCCUCCCGAAGGACUUGAAGCAAUAUUCUCAAAUGCUCGGCAUGUUCCUCGUCACUACGAGAAUAGACCAAUAUGUCGUCUAUGAAGACCACGACAAAUCGAUCCAAAUACUUCUGGAAGACACGGUUCAUUAAAUCCAUGAACGCCGCUGGAGCGUUCGUGAGUCCAAAUGGCAUGACCGUGAAUUCGUAGUGUCCAUACCGCGUACGAAUCGCAGUCUUCUGCACAUCCUCCGGCUUGAUUCUCAGUUGGUGAUAGCCGGAUUGCAAAUCUAUCUUUGAGUACACACACGACCCCUGCAACUGAUCGAACAAGUCAUCAAUUCGGGGCAGUGGGUACUUGUUCUUGAUCGUGACUCUGUUCAGUUCUCGAUAAUCCACGCAGAGUCAAAACGAUCCGUCCUUCUUCCGUACAAACAACACCCGGGCUCCCUACGGUGAUACACUUGGCCGGAUAAAUUACUUGUCGAGGAGGUCUUGCAGUUGGCUCCUCAACUCUUUCAAUUUUGCCGGCGCCAUUCGGUACGGAGCCUUCGAGAUCGGUGCGGUACAGGGAACCAAGUCUAUGACGAACUUGAUCUCCCGAUCCGGUAGUAUCCCCGGCAACUCCGUGGGAAAUACAUCCGGGAACUCCCGCACCACCGAUAGCUCCUCUAGGAUUGGGGCUACUCGUUCCACUUCCACAACAGUCGCUAAGAAUACCGUGCAACCACUGUUGACUAGCUUCCUUGCCCUUGUCGCCGACACCGUCGCGACAAAGCACGAGCUCUGACAAGCCCGAUAGGUGAAUUCUUCCUAUCCUCGCUCGCGGAAUGUGAUCACCCUGCUCUUGCAGUCGAUGGUUGCGUGAUAUUUCGAGAGCCAGUCCAUGCCCAGAAUGAUAUCAUAAGCCUCAAGCUUCGUGAGUUCCAGUGUCCGGAUAGGCAUAAUCCAGUCGCCUAUUUGCACGGGACACGACGCACACUCCGAGUAAGUGUUAAACGUCGACCCAGAGCCCUCCACUUGCCACUUGUCACUCGCUUCUAUAUGUAUGCCAUGCAUGCGUGCGAAUGAUCUACUUAUGAAUGAAUGCGUGGCUCCUGUAUCAAAUAAAGCCCUGGAGCGAACUCCGUUAAUUAAAACCAUACCUGCCACAAGGCGAUGCUCCUCCCCCUCCGCAGGUUCCUCAGCUUGGACCUGAGCGGCGAACACCCGUCCGCUCGGGGCCGAUCGCGUAACUUCAGGUUGACGCGGCCGUCGGUGGAGCUCCUCCAUAAUGAGCCGGAAUCGCCGGCGCCGAUGCAAUAGAGGGGGCAGGUGAGGCUCCUCCUCCCGGGCAAUCUCGAAUGAAGUGCCCGGGCUGCCCACACUUGUAGCACUUGCCUCGACCUAGUUCACAGCGCAAGACCGGAUGGUCUCCGCCGCAUGUCAUGCAUCGCCGGACUCCACCGCCCUUCUGUUGAGUGCGCGAAUACUUCGGGGGCUUCUUGUAAUGUGUCUGUCCCACCGAACUACCGCCACCUUGGCGUUUCUUGCCCUUGUCCUUAGACUCGGCCAAAGCCUCACGCUUCUCCCGAACGUGGGUGUCACGCCCCGCGACCGCCCGCCUAUUUGGCCGGGUCGCAGCGCCGCGAACAGAUCGCCGAACGGACAGGGUUUCCCCUGUACUGCGGACAGAGUCUCCCCUGUACGUUCAAGGCAUAGCAAUCAAUACAAUGUGCGAAGUUCCAACCAGGAACACAUUUCAAUCAAGAUUGCAUAAUGGAAGGUAUCAAACAACAUAAACACAUCCUAUAUUAUUACAUUCAUUCACAUUAGAUUCAUUUUACAUCACAAUUACAUAAUACAUUCUUUUUAGCUUCCAAAUACAAUCUAGCUUUAACAAUAUUAUUACAACUUGAUCCUUUUCAUUUUCUUGCAUCCCUAAGUAAGGCCGACUCAGGGUACCGCUAUCUCUGGUCUCGGUGG